rnacentral:rRNA from 1 species
GCGGCGGACGGGUGAGUAACACGUGGGCAACCUGCCUGUAAGACUGGGAUAACUUCGGGAAACCGGAGCUAAUACCGGAUAAUCCUUUUCUACUCAUGUAGAAAAGCUGAAAGACGGUUUACGCUGUCACUUACAGAUGGGCCCGCGGCGCAUUAGCUAGUUGGUGAGGUAACGGCUCACCAAGGCGACGAUGCGUAGCCGACCUGAGAGGGUGAUCGGCCACACUGGGACUGAGACACGGCCCAGACUCCUACGGGAGGCAGCAGUAGGGAAUCUUCCGCAAUGGACGAAAGUCUGACGGAGCAACGCCGCGUGAGUGAUGAAGGUUUUCGGAUCGUAAAACUCUGUUGUUAGGGAAGAACAAGUACGAGAGUAACUGCUCGUACCUUGACGGUACCUAACCAGAAAGCCACGGCUAACUACGUGCCAGCAGCCGCGGUAAUACGUAGGUGGCAAGCGUUGUCCGGAAUUAUUGGGCGUAAAGCGCGCGCAGGCGGUCCUUUAAGUCUGAUGUGAAAGCCCACGGCUCAACCGUGGAGGGUCAUUGGAAACUGGGGGACUUGAGUGCAGAAGAGGAGAGUGGAAUUCCACGUGUAGCGGUGAAAUGCGUAGAGAUGUGGAGGAACACCAGUGGCGAAGGCGACUCUCUGGUCUGUAACUGACGCUGAGGCGCGAAAGCGUGGGGAGCGAACAGGA